GAUGAACGCUGGCGGCGUGCCUAAUACAUGCAAGUCGAGCGAACGGACGAGACGCUUGCUUCUCUGUUGUUAGCGGCGGACGGGUGAGUAACACGUGGAUAACCUACCUAUAAGACUGGGAUAACUUCGGGAAACCGGAGCUAAUACCGGAUAAUAUUUUGAACCGCAUGGUUCAAAAGUGAAAGACGGUCUUGCUGUCACUUAUAGAUGGAUCUGCGCUGCAUUAGCUAGUUGGUAAGGUAACGGCUUAUCAAGGCAACGAUGCAUAGCCGACCUGAUAGGGUGAUCGGCCACACUGGAACUGAGACACGGUCCAGGCUCCUACGGGAGGCAGCAGUAGGGAAUCUUCCGCAAUGGGCGAAAGCCUGACGGAGCAACGCCGCGUGAGAGAUGAAGGUCUUCGGAUCGUAAAACUCUGUUAUUAGGGAAGAACAUAUGUGUAAGUAACUGUGCACAUCUUGACGGUACCUAAUCAGAAAGCCACGGCUAACUACGUG
rnacentral:rRNA from 1 species